rnacentral:misc_RNA from 1 species
AGAAGAUGAAAAAAAGAAAACAAUCAUAAACAAAACAAACAAAAAUGUGCUUUCCAACAAAACCAUAUUCAGAUCAUCAACGCAAAAAUUAGCUUACAAGAACUCACACUGGCUGAACAAUGCAAUUCAAUAAAGGGUAACCAUUCCAUUGCAAUUCAGCUUACAUAUAGUGCAAAAGCAUCCUAGACCUUUCAAUUUAACAGAAAUCAUACAAAGUUCAUAAUUCACUGAAAUGAACAAAUUUCAAUUCUUU